UACCGAGCUGCAUACUUCCUUACAUGCCCAUACUAUAUCAUAAAUGGAUAUGGAAUGUAAAGAAGUAUGUAGAACGGGG
rnacentral:pre_miRNA from 15 species